UCACCUCUCAAGCUCCGGCUUGGUGUUGGGCUUUAUGGUUUGGCAACAGACCGGUCUCAAAGAUAGUGACGGCGUCCCGGAAGGAGCCCGUACGAGGAGCUUUUUUAAGCAUGUACGCGGUGUGACUCUAUGGGCGACGGUCUUGACAUUUUAUACCAG
rnacentral:misc_RNA from 1 species